rnacentral:lncRNA from 1 species
AAAAAGGAGAAGAAGAAGAAGAAGAAGAAGGAAGGAAAAAGGAAGAAGAAAAGAAAAGGAAAAGAAAAGAAAGAAAAGAAAGGAAAAAGAAAAGAACGAAAAAAAAAGAAGCGCGACGACCAAAUCUGCUUUUAGUACAUCGCAUGCGGCGAUGCACAUUGAUCCCAGCAUUAGGGCGUGGUAUUUUCGGUGACACAUGUGUGAUAAUGCAUGGCGACGCCGACGACCUGGA